CUCCCCUCGUCUCGGCACAGCCCGACAUCUCGCGAAAUUUCUAGAAUUUUCACUCCCCGAGUCAAAACCUUUGACCAGAACAAGCGCUACCAUCCGCCGGAAGUUUCUCACACUCUCUCCGACACAAAAAAGCUGCCACCCAACGCCGCCGUGUCUCUCUCUAGAAUUCUCCUCUCCCGUUCUUAUAUACCACCUCGCUUUCUCUCUCUUCGCCCCCAACAAUCUCGUUCUCCUCCGUCUUCUCCCCCGCACUGCCACUUACCAGAGUCGCCACCGCGCUUUCUCUCUCUGUCUCUCUCUCUCUAACAGUGCUCACCACCCACGCCGACAAUGGUACCAAGAUCAAGAAUCGCAUAGCCGACCGGAAGAGGAAAGAAACCCAAGAAACGCCGCCGCCGCCGCCGAUGGAGAGGGUGAUCGUGAUCAAAGAAGAAGACCGAGACCAAGAACGCGAAGAUGUGAUCGUGUGCUCGACUGGGUCGUCGUCGUCGUCGGGCUCGGCCGCUGCUGCUGCUCCGAGGCCGAUGGAGGGGCUCCACGAGGUAGGCCCGCCGCCGUUCCUGAUGAAGACGUUCGAGAUGGUGGAGGACCCGUCGACGGACGCGGUGGUGUCGUGGAGCGGGGCGAAGAACAGCUUCAUCGUGUGGGACUCCCACCGGUUCGCCUCCACCCUGCUCCCCAAGUACUUCAAGCACGGCAACUUCUCCAGCUUCAUCCGGCAGCUCAACACUUACGGAUUUAGGAAGGUGGAUCCAGACAGAUGGGAAUUCGCGAAUGAAGGUUUCUUGGGAGGGCAGAAGCAUCUGCUCAAGACCAUCAAGAGGAGGAGGAACGUCCCGCAGAAUCAGCAGCAGCAUGGAGCCACGGCCUGCGUCGAACUGGGACAGUUCGGAUUGGAAGGCGAGCUCGAGAGGUUGACACGAGACCGCAACUUGUUGAUGUCUGAAAUCGCGAAGCUGAAGCAGCAGCAACAGCACUCGAUGGAGCUGAUUGCAGCAAUGGAAGAUAGGUUGCAGAGAACAGAGAAUAAGCAGCAGCAGAUGCUGACUUUCCUCGCCAAAGCGCUCAGUAACCCAUCUUUCGUUCAGAACUUGGCACAAAGAAAGGAAUUGCAAAGUCUCGGCAUCGGAAAGAAGCGGAGAUUGACUGCUAGCCCGAGCUUGGAGAAUUUGCAAGCAGACCAAGAUCUAGAAGAGCUGGGGCCGAUUGAAUCCGAUAUGGAGACACUUCUCUAUGGUGCCUUGGAGAAUGAAUCAAGCAUCGACAUUGAAGACCCACUUGGAAGUUCGAUGCCAGGGACCAACGGUGAUGAGCUGGAUUCUGUGAACGAGACGAUCUGGGAGGAACUAUUGAAUGAGGACGCAAUUCCGGAGGAAGAGUGGCCACUCGGCGACGAAUCGGAUUUCGAGGUGGAUGUGGAGGAUUUGGUCGAGAACCCUCCGGAUUGGGGAGAGGACUUGAAUGAGCUGGCGGACCAAAUAGGUUAUCUCAGAUCGAAGCCAUGAUCGAUGUCACUGAACUAGUCCUCCUCUGCAACACCAUUCCUGACUAUAAUGAAGAUUUGUGGUAGGUCAAAUAAAUCCAUGUCCUUUAUAAGUGUGUUAUUAAAUAUGUGUGUGCGUGCUAGUCUGGCUUGUCAUCUAAUAGGAGAGUGUUGAGCAGGAGGGAAUGGUUGAAGUUGCAGAGGGGGCCAAAUCAAAUGUUGCUUGAAUGCUUUGCUGGUUUCUCUGUAUCCUUGAUAAUUUUUUGAUUUGUCUAGCAUUCUGAUGGCGAACUCAGUUAAAAGACUCGUUGAAGCCACCAAAUUUACACGCCCAGAUCAUGGUCCCUCCAAUUUGUUUCAUUCAUCCCACCAAAUCUUAGAUGUACAGAUUUGUUUGUUCAUGUAAAUUUUGGUUAAUUGAACCAGCAGAUUCAUAUUAAAAAAGUGGCCGUUCUAUAUA